rnacentral:misc_RNA from 1 species
GCAAAGUGGAUGAAGAAGAAUAGUGACGAGUCUGAUAAUGUGAAUUGGAUACUUGCUUAUACGAAGCCUUGUCCAAAAUGCAUGACUCCAAUUGAAAAAAACCAUGGAUGUAUGCAUAUGACUUGCAGACCUCCUUGUAAAUUUGAGUUCUGCUGGCUAUGCCUUGGUGAAUGGAAAUCUCAUGGGGAUUACUAUUCUUGCAAUGCCUAUGAGAAGGCCAAGAGAGAUGGAGAUUAUGAUGAAGAGAAUCAAAAGAAACAGAUGGCUAAGAAUCUUGUGGAGAGGUACAUUCAUUAUUAUGAAAGAUGGAUUGCAAACCAAUCUUCCAGGAAGAAAGCUCUAGCAGAUUUGAAUGGAGUGAAAGCUGUGCAUAUGGUGAAGCUUUCUGAUGUUUAUCAGAAACCCGCGUCUCAAUUGAAGGGAAUAGAAGAGGCUUGGCUUCAGAUAGUUGAAUGCAGGAGAGUUCUGAAAUGGAGUUAUGUAUUUGGUUAUUGUCUGCCAGAGAAAGAGGAAGCUAAGAAGAACCUUUUUGAGUACUUGCAGGGACAAGCAGAGUCUGGUUUGGAAAGGCUUCAUCAAUGUGCAGAGGAGGAAUUGAAACCUUUCAUUGCUGAUUAUGAAAAUCUACCAUCAGCAGAAGAGUUCCAUGAUUACUAUCUGAAGUUGGUCAAUCUGACUAAUGUGACUAAAAAUUUCUUUGAGAAUCUGGUUAGAGGCUUGCAGAGUGUCCUGGAUGCUGUGGAUUCUUGUAGCAAGAAGAAAUCUAAUAAGGUUAACUAGAAUUAGGUAGCUGUAAUUAGCUAAAAAUAAUUAGUUAUCAUGUAAUUAAUUUCUUUUAAUUUGAUAAUUAUGCAAUUAAAAUUUUACAUAAAAGAGCUGUCAUACUUUUUGAUGGUUUCAAAAUAGAUGCAG